rnacentral:rRNA from 1 species
GAUGAACGCUGGCGGCGUGCUUAACACAUGCAAGUCGAACGGAAAGGCCCUGCUUUUGUGGGGUGCUCGAGUGGCGAACGGGUGAGUAACACGUGAGUAACCUGCCCUUGACUUUGGGAUAACUUCAGGUAACUGGGGCUAAUACCGGAUAGGAGCUCCUGCUGCAUGGUGGGGGUUGGAAAGUUUCGGCGGUUGGGGAUGGAUUCGCGGCUUAUCAGCUUGUUGGUGGGGUAGUGGCUUACCAAGGCUUUGACGGGUAGCCGGCCUGAGAGGGUGACCGGCCACAUUGGGACUGAGAUACGGCCCAGACUCCUACGGGAGGCAGCAGUGGGGAAUAUUGCACAAUGGGCGGAAGCCUGAUGCAGCAACGCCGCGUGCGGGAUGACGGCCUUCGGGUUGUAAACCGCUUUCGCCUGUGACGAAGCGUGAGUGACGGUAAUGGGUAAAGAAGCACCGGCUAACUACGUG